AGACGGGUGUCGUUUAUCGCUACGCGCUGUCUCCGAUGACGUCAUUGUCGUGUCGUCACACUUUGUAGUUUUUGGUUUGGACUACAAAAACCGGCUGUAGUGCAGCGGACGCGCGCGCGCGCGUGCACAGCAGAUGACAAAAGGUCCCGCGCUCCUCUUCCUCCUCUUCAUCUGUGCUGACGUCACGGGGACGGUCAACAUGUCAACAGGAAGUGGAUUGGUGUCGGUGGACUUUGAAGUCUUUGGUCACGUUCAAGGAGUUUGCUUCAGGAUGUACACUGAGAAGGAGGCGGGGCUCCUGGGUGUGGUGGGCUGGGUGAAGAACACCCACAGUGGGACGGUGGUGGGUCAACUCCAAGGUCCUUCUGACGCCGUGGAGGAGAUGAAAGUGUGGCUGAGCAAAGUAGGAAGUCCCGGCAGUCGCAUCAGCAGAACUUCCUUCAGCAACUCCAACAACAUCAACAAGCUGGAGAUGAGCGGCGUUCACACUCGCUACUGAACACCCGAGGAACACCUGAGGUGCACCUGAAGUACACCUGAGGUACACCUGAAGUACACCUGAGGUACACCUGAAGUACACCUGAGGUGCACCUGAAGUACACCUGAGGCUCUCCUUGUGCUACUUCCUGCUUGUGCUGUGUGCACACCUGCAUGCACGACCACUUUUUGAA